rnacentral:rRNA from 1 species
GAUGAACGCUAGCGGCAGGCCUAAUACAUGCAAGUCGGACGGGAUUGAGAAGCUUGCUUUUCAUGAGAGUGGCGCACGGGUGCGUAACACGUAUGUCACCUACCUUAAUCAGGGGGAUAGCCUCUCGCAAGAGAGAUUAACACCGCAUAAAAUCAAUUUAUGGCAUCAUAGAAUGAUCAAAUCUUUAUAGGAUUAAGAUGGGCAUGCGGAACAUUAGCUAGUUGGUAAGGUAACGGCUUACCAAGGCUACGAUGUUUAGGGGAUCAGAGAGGAUGACCCCCCAAACUGGUACUGAGACACGGACCAGACGCCUACGGGAGGCAGCAGUAAGGAAUAUUGGUCAAUGGGCGCAAGCCUGAACCAGCCAUGCCGCGUGCAGGGAGACGGCCCUACGGGUUGUAAACUGCUUUUGUACCGGAAUAAACCUUUGUAUGUAUACGAAGCUGAAGGUACGGUAAGAAUAAGGAUCGGCUAACUCCGUGCCAGCAGCCGCCGUAA